rnacentral:lncRNA from 1 species
GUUAGAGGCUUAGGAGGAAUCUUGUGGGAAAGCUGUGGGGAAAAGGCGGAGUCGCCGUUUUUUAUGGUUUACCCAAGCUUGCUUUCUUUUUUCUUUUUUUAAAGAAAAGUAGUCCUCCCGGAACAGACAGAGUAACAAACAGACCCCCUCCCCGAAUUUCUCCUCUUAAGUCCCUUACUCUUCAUAUCUUCGGACCUUUUCAGAGUCAUGGUAUUAAAAUCUUCUCCAGAUCUUCCAGAAACACUGUCACCUAAUGGAAAAACAAAGGUAGAUAAAAUGGACAAUAUGCUGGAGAAUUAAGGAGCAGAAUAAUCCUAGUGAAGAAGGCAAUGGCAAGCUUACAGAAGUUCAUGGGGGAUAAACACAUUUCACUGAGAAACCAAGAUCCAGAAACAUUAAAGCAGUUGUUUUUCCCAUUGUAAAGUAUGGCAGGGAAAACUUGACACUGAGAAAAAAUGAAAGGCAUGUGACUUUGAACUAUGGAUCUGGAAAGAAUUUCUAAGGAUGCAACAGAUCCAAGUUGAGACUGGCAAGGAAUGGACCCUUGGCAGAGAAAGCAAGCAGACUCAGACCAAAAUCAUGCACAGAAAUGAGUUGUAAACAUCAGGUUCAGCAGCCAGCCAAAUCUUUCAAAAAGGCACCCUUUCCU